CUGAGAUCUACAACUUAUGAAGAAUACAAAUGAUGUAUAUUCUUUUCUACUCUUCAUGUAUGGACUAGAGGGGCUUGCACAGUAGUAAGAAAAAAAUGGCUGAGACCCACAGGAACAAAGAAACAGGACAGGAGUUAGAUGCAGAGAAGAGAUUUCAACAAAAGUUUGGAAAAGAUGCUAACGGUAGCAUAUGAGUCACAGACAGAACAUUGGCACCUUUGUUUAAGAAACUGAAUGUUAAUGUCACAUCUGCCUUUGGAGAUUACAAAUGAAAUGGCUACCUUUCUACUGGAACCCUGACCAGAAGUCUGCCAGUUAGUAAGCUGGCUUAAGAGAUCAAUCUAAAAUUUACAUAAGGCUUUUGAAAAAAAGAAAAAAGUAAGUCUUUAAAAAAGCCAAAAGGAAACUGGUGGAAUUAGAGGUAAUUCGGGGCGGG
rnacentral:lncRNA from 1 species